CAUAAAUUCAAGGCAUUGAUGUUACUGAGAGUCCUCCUUAUUCUGUGAGGUUUCCACAACUUUAUGGUUUACUCUUCCGCACAGAAUUUUUAAAAGAAGCUUCAAAAAGCUCUACUCUGUUACUCCUUUACAAUAGUACGAAGUGGUCCCAGUGUGUUCGCAAGCCCUGUGACUUGCACGGUGGGCACUUCUCUGCUUGGGUCCUUGACUGCACUGCCACUGAUGUUUCAUAUUUUAUUUGAAAAGAGGUGGACGUUAUCUUUGAGGGAACUGGAAAGGGCUCUUAAGAUAACUUUCUCACAAAUCCCUAAGUGUAACUUUGUUAAUUCUCAGUGAGUCCUCGGUGCUAG
rnacentral:lncRNA from 1 species